GAUGAAGAACGCAGCGAAACGCGAUAUGUAAUGUGAAUUGCAGAAUUCAGUGAAUCAUCGAAUCUUUGAACGCACAUUGCGCCCGCCAGCACUCUGGCGGGCAUGCCUGUUCGAGCGUCAUUUCAACCAUCAAGCCCCCAGGGGCUUGUGCUGGGGCCCUGCGGCUGCCCGCAGGCCCUGAAAACCAGUGGCGGGCUCGCUAGUCACACCGAGCGCAGUAGCACAUCUCGCUAAGGGCGUGCGGCGGGCUCCUGCCGUGAAACCCCCCACUGUAACCCCAAAGGUUGACCUCGGAUCAGGUAGGAAUACCCGCUGAACUUAAGCAUAUCAAUAAGCGGAGGA
rnacentral:misc_RNA from 1 species